UAUAACCUGAUGUUAUUGUUUAUUAAAUGUCACCUAUAUUUCUAUUAUUUUUUUUAAAAUAGACAAAAUUAAUUGAUUGAAUAGAUAAAAAUGAAUAAACUAAAAUCUAGAGGUCACAGGAGCUUUAAUAUCAACAAAAUUAAGUAAGAUGUACAAUAUAAAAUAAUAUAGAACAAUCACGAUAAAACCUUAGAUAUUUUUGCUAAUUGAUUAUUAUAAAAGAAGAAAUUGGUAAUAUAUUAUUUCUAGUUGAACAAAUGUGUAUGUUGUGGAGUUGGUAUUUGGCUGAUGAUACAUAGUUUGAUAUUAUUGGAGAAGUUAAUUUAGUCGUUGCAACAAAUCAUUUUAAAAUUUCAGCAUUUACAGUUGUUACUUUG